UUUCCAAGUUUCCAAAAACAGAAACCAAACCCCCUCCCUCUCAUUUUCUCUGCAAAUUCAACUCCCCCUAUCUGUCUCUCUCUGAUCCUUGCUGUCAUCUCACCACCUCUUGCUUCUUGAUCAAAUUAUGGAGAAGAAGCCACACCUGAGCCUCCUGCUACCUCCACUCAUAGUCUCUCUUCUUCUAGGUCGGGCUGAGGAAUUCUGCUCCCCUCUCUUAGGUUGUCUUCACCCAAGCUUUAACCCAAAAAUAGGUUUAAGCAGAUCUUCAAGG